rnacentral:rRNA from 1 species
UACGGAGGAUGCGAGCGUUAUCCGGAUUUAUUGGGUUUAAAGGGUGCGUAGGCGGAUCGUUAAGUCAGUGGUCAAAUUGAGGGGCUCAACCCCUUCCCGCCAUUGAAACUGGCGAUCUUGAGUGGAAGAGAAGUAUGCGGAAUGCGUGGUGUAGCGGUGAGAUGCAUAGAUAUCACGCAGAACCCCGAUUGCGAAGGCAGCAUGCCGGCUUCCUACUGACGCUGAAGCACGAAAGCGUGGGGAUCGAACAGG